rnacentral:rRNA from 1 species
GACGAACGCUGGCGGCGUGCUUAACACAUGCCAGUCGAACGGAAAGGCCCUGCUUUUGUGGGGUGCUCGAGUGGCGAACGGGUGAGUAACACGUGAGUAACCUGCCCUUGACUUUGGGAUAACUUCAGGAAACUGGGGCUAAUACCGGAUAGGAGCUCCUGCUGCAUGGUGGGGGUUGGAAAGUUUCGGCGGUUGGGGAUGGACUCGCGGCUUAUCAGCUUGUUGGUGGGGUAGUGGCUUACCAAGGCUUUGACGGGUAGCCGGCCUGAGAGGGUGACCGGCCACAUUGGGACUGAGAUACGGCCCAGACUCCUACGGGAGGCAGCAGUGGGGGAUAUUGCACAAUGGGCGGAAGCCUGAUGCAGCAACGCCGCGUGCGGGAUGACGGCCUUCGGGUUGUAAACCGCUUUCGACUGUGACGAAGCGUGAGUGACGGUAAUGGGUAAAGAAGCACCGGCUAACUACGUG